rnacentral:rRNA from 1 species
AGCGUAGACGGUGUGGCAAGUCUGAUGUGAAAAGGCAUGGGCUCAACCUGUGGACUGCAUUGGAAACUGUCAUACUUGAGUGCCGGAGGGGUAGGCGGAAUUCCUAGUGUAGCGGUGAAAUGCGUAGAUAUUAGGAGGAACACCAGUGGCGAAGGCGGCUUACUGGACGGUAACUGACGUUGAGGCUCGAAAGCGUGGGAGCAAACA